rnacentral:rRNA from 1 species
AGGAUAAACGCUGGCGGCGUGCAUGAGACAUGCAAGUCGAACGGACGAGCUUGCUCGUUAGUGGCGGACGGCUGAGUAACGCGUAGGUGACCUGCCCCGAAGUGGGGGGAUAACUGCCCGAAAGGGUGGCUAAUACCGCAUGUGGCGACGCUUUCAUUGGCGUCAUCAAAGCCGCGAGGCGCUUCGGGAGGGGCCUGCGUCCGAUUAGCUCGUUGGUGGGGUAAUGGCUCACCAAGGCGACGAUCGGUAGGUGGUCUGAGAGGACGAUCACCCAGACUGGGACUGAGACACGGCCCAGACUCCUACGGGAGGCAGCAGUCGGGAAUUUUGCUCAAUGGGCGCAAGCCUGAAGCAGCAACGCCGCGUGCGGGAUGAAGGCCUUCGGGUUGUAAACCGCUUUUACCAGGGACGAUAAUGACGGUACCUGAUGAAUAAGUCACGGCUAACUACGUGCCAGCAGCCGC